rnacentral:lncRNA from 1 species
CUUUCCAGAAGGUUCCAAGGGUCUUAGUGCUGGAGACAGAAGAACAGUGAAGGAUACACCAGCCUUCCUUCGUGCUGCUGCAGCAUGUGAGAUUGUAGCAUGUGAGAACCUGGCGUUUAUACUCUCACCCCUUCCUGACCUUCUUCUUGGUCUUCCCAACGGGAUGUGUCCCACUCUUUGGUUAGAGGACUAAGCGGGAGCCUGUCCCUGACUGGCAGCGCCAUUUCAGUCUUGGAGCCAGAGGGAAAGGGGGCGUGGCAAGGAGAAAAGCUCACAGCAUUGACUCCUCCCCUCUGCUCACUCCACCUUUCUUCCUUUCCCCUCCCCUCCUACUUCUGGCCUCUAUGACUUGAGCCCCUCCCACUCUUGAUGAGAUGAACUGAAACCCCUGGAAACCGAGACCCAGAAUAAACAAAUCUCUCUUAGCCCUCAGAUGGAGAUGUAGAACUCUGCACCAUGCCUGCCUGGAUGCUGCCAUGUUCCUGCCUUGAUGAUAAUGGACUGAACCUCGGAACCGAGUGUCCUUCAGUGAUUCGGGGUGAACUUCAUCUCAGAUGGACUGAUCCUUUAAUUUCUCCAAAGCAGCCCACUUCUGUGGUCAACGUGAGUGGCCGAUGAGCCAUUGUAUUUGAGUGUCUCUCCUUCCCACGGGGAAGUCUAAGCUUUCAUUGGUUUUCAUGCUCUGAUCAGCUCCAGGAUGGGGAGAUGAGAGCUGACUGUUGAAAGUGGCAGUGGUUUGAUCUGCGUGUGUUGGCACAUGCCCGUCCUGCAGCACUUGGGAGGCAGCAGCAGGAGAUUCCGGAGUUCAAGGCUUGUAGUUCCGCUGCUCUUCUAGAGGACCGGACAUCACUGAUGUGAGAAAGUUCACAGUGGCCUGUAACUCCAGCCACAGUGGGUAUGAUGCCCUCUUCUGGUCUCCUCAGGCAACUUUGCACAUGUGACAUACACACACACACACAUAUAAAUGAGAAUAAUAAAAACAAAUCUUUAUUUAAAAAACAAA